AGAGUUUGAUCCUGGCUCAGAUUGAACGCUGGCGGCAUGCCUUACACAUGCAAGUCGAACGGCAGCAUGGAGAGCUUGCUCUCUGAUGGCGAGUGGCGAACGGGUGAGUAAUACAUCGGAACGUGUCCGUUUGUGGGGGACAACCGUCCGAAAGGAUGGCUAAUACCGCAUGAGACCUGAGGGUGAAAGCCGGGGACCGCAAGGCCCGGCGCAGACGGAGCGGCCGAUGAUUGAUUAGCUAGUUGGGGAGGUAAAGGCUCACCAAGGCGACGAUCAAUAGCUGGUCUGAGAGGACGACCAGCCACACUGGAACUGAGACACGGUCCAGACUCCUACGGGAGGCAGCAGUGGGGAAUUUUGGACAAUGGGGGCAACCCUGAUCCAGCCAUGCCGCGUGCGGGAAGAAGGCCUUCGGGUUGUAAACCGCUUUUGUCAGGGACGAAAAGCUCCGGAGUAAUAUGCCGGAGUGCUGACGGUACCUGAAGAAUAAGCACCGGCUAACUACGUGCCAGCAGCCGCGGUAAUACGUAGGGUGCGAGCGUUAAUCGGAAUUACUGGGCGUAAAGCGUGCGCAGGCGGUUGGGUAAGACAGAUGUGAAAUCCCCGGGCUUAACCUGGGAACUGCAUUUGUGACUGUCCGACUGGAGUACGUCAGAGGGGGGUGGAAUUCCACGUGUAGCAGUGAAAUGCGUAGAUAUGUGGAAGAACACCGAUGGCGAAGGCAGCCCCCUGGGACGCAACUGACGCUCAUGCACGAAAGCGUGGGGAGCAAACAGGAUUAGAUACCCUGGUAGUCCACGCCCUAAACGAUGUCUGCUGGUUGUUGGGAAUUUAAUUCUCAGUAACGAAGCCAACGCGUGAAGCAGACCGCCUGGGGAGUACGGUCGCAAGAUUAAAACUCAAAGGAAUUGACGGGGACCCG
rnacentral:rRNA from 1 species